rnacentral:ncRNA from 2 species
AAAAAUACUGUCAUUUUAGGUGCCCUAAGGGGAGAAUAGGGAAGUUCGGUUUGAAACCGACGCGGACCCACCACUGUAUUCGAUGAGUUUCGUAAACCACUGGCGCUUGCUGGGAAGGUUACGGAUUGAACGAUGAUUCGAUAGCCAGGAGACCUGCCUAAAGUGUCUAUGUCUU